CAGAGUAUCCGAAAGCUACUUAAAACCAUCGCUGAACUUAUCUCAUUUGCUUGCUGCGGCGCAAGCUCCCUCACGGGGGACCGCAGCCCGCCUCUCAGGAGGUAGGGCAGCCGCCGGAGGUACAACCAAACUCUGUAUUAUAGUGGAUUCUCUGAGGUAUAUACAAUAAGUUA
rnacentral:misc_RNA from 1 species